AGAACGAACGCUGGCGGCAUGCCUAACACAUGCAAGUCGAACGAGACCUUCGGGUCUAGUGGCGCACGGGUGCGUAACGCGUGGGAAUCUGCCCUUAGGUACGGAAUAACAGUGAGAAAUUACUGCUAAUACCGUAUGAUGUCUUCGGACCAAAGAUUUAUCGCCUAGGGAUGAGCCCGCGUUGGAUUAGCUAGUUGGUGGGGUAAAGGCCUACCAAGGCGACGAUCCAUAGCUGGUCUGAGAGGAUGAUCAGCCACACUGGGACUGAGACACGGCCCAGACUCCUACGGGAGGCAGCAGUGGGGAAUAUUGGACAAUGGGCGAAAGCCUGAUCCAGCAAUGCCGCGUGAGUGAAGAAGGCCUUAGGUUGUAAAGCUCGUUUUACCCGGGAAGAUAAUGACUGUACCGGGAGAAUAAGCCCGGCUAACUCCGCGCCAGCAGCCGC
rnacentral:rRNA from 1 species